CCGGCGACCGGCGCACGGGUGAGUAACACGUAUGCGACCUGCCCCCCGCAGGGGGAUAACCGGGAGAAAUCCUGACUAAUACCGCGUAACGCCGCGGACCUGCAUGGGUCUGCGGCCAAAGGAAGCGAUUCCGGCGGGGGAUGGGCAUGCGGCGCAUUAGCUAGUCGGCGGGGUAACGGCCCACCGAGGCGACGAUGCGUAGGGGUUCUGAGAGGAAGGUCCCCCACACUGGUACUGAGACACGGACCAGACUCCUACGGAAGGCAGCAG
rnacentral:rRNA from 1 species